rnacentral:rRNA from 1 species
GAUGAACGCUAGCUACAGGCUUAACACAUGCAAGUCGAGGGGCAGCAUGAAAGGAACUUCGGUUCUUUUUGAUGGCGACCGGCGCACGGGUGCGUAACGCGUAUCGAACCUGCCUCAUACUCGGGGAUAGCCUUGCGAAAGUAAGAUUAAUACCCGGCGGUCUCGGAUGGCCGCAUGACUAUCCGAGUGAAGAUUUAUCGGUAUGAGAUGGCGAUGCGUCCCAUUAGCUAGUUGGUGAGGUAAUGGCUCACCAAGGCAUCGAUGGGUAGGGGUUCUGAGAGGAAGGUCCCCCACAUUGGAACUGAGACACGGUCCAAACUCCUACGGGAGGCAGCAGUGAGGAAUAUUGGUCAAUGGACGAAAGUCUGAACCAGCCAAGUAGCGUGCAGGAAGACGGCCCUCUGGGUUGUAAACUGCUUUUAGUUGGGAAUAAAAAGAGGGACGUGUCCCUUAUUGUAUGUACCAUCAGAAAAAGGACCGGCUAAUUCCGUGCCAGCAGCCGCGGUAAUACGGAAGGUCCAGGCGUUAUCCGGAUUUAUUGGGUUUAAAGGGAGCGCAGGCGGCGGCGUAAGUCAGUUGUGAAAUCGUGCGGCUUAACCGUGCAAUUGCAGUUGAUACUGCGUCGCUUGAGUGCACACAGGGAUGUUGGAAUUCAUGGUGUAGCGGUGAAAUGCUUAGAUAUCACGAAGAACUCCGAUUGCGAAGGCAGCUCACUGGACUGCAACUGACACUGAUGCUCGAAAGUGUGGGUAUCANACAGG